GAAAGUAAAGAAGGGCGCAUGGCGGAUGCCUUGGCUCUCGGAGGCGAUGAAGGACGUGAUAAGCUGCGAUAAGCUUUGGGGAGGUGCAAAUGACCUUUGAUCCAGAGAUUUCCGAAUGGGACAACCCAAUAUCUUGAAGAGGUAUUAUCCAACGUUGUUGGAGGCUAACGCAGGGAACUGAAACAUCUUAGUACCUGCAGGAAAAGAAAAUAAACAAUGAUUCCCCCAGUAGUGGCGAGCGAACGGGGAACAGCCCAAACCAUCCAUGUUACGGCAUGUGUGGGGUUGUAGGACUACGCCAUUGCAUGAAGACAUCAGAGAAGAACUUUCUGGAAAGAAAGACCAUAGAGCAUGACAGUUGCGUAUUCGAAUGUUGUCGAAGCAUAGUAGUAUCCUGAGUAGCGCGGAGCACGAGGAAUUCUGCGUGAAUCUGCCGGGACCAUCCGGUAAGGCUAAAUACUCCCGAGAGACCGAUAGCGAACCAGUACCGUGAGGGAAAGGUGAAAAGCACUUCGAACAGAAGAGUGAAAUAGUUCCUGAAACCGUGCGCCUACAAGCGGUCGGAGCUCGUUAAUGAGUGACGGCGUGCCUUUUGCAUAAUGAACCUACGAGUUGCCUUUGCCGGCAAGGUUAAGUGUGACGACACACGUAUCCGAAGCGAAAGCGAGUCUGAACAGGGCGUAUAGUCGGCAGUGGCAGACGCGAAACCAAGUGAUCUACCCUUGGCCAGGUUGAAGGCUGGGUAACACCAGCUGGAGGACCGCACCAAUAAGCGUUGAAAAGCUUCUGGAUGAGCUGAGGGUAGGGGUGAAAGGCUAAUCAAACUUGGAGAUAGCUCGUACUCCCCGAAAUGCAUUUAGGUGCAGCCUUGCGGGUUACUGAUGUGAGGUAGAGCGACUGAUAAGAUGCGAGGGCUUCACCGCCUAUCAAGUCUUGACAAACUCCGAAUGCGCAUCAGUUCUACCGCAGGAGUGAGGGCAUGGGUGCUAAGGUCCGUGCCCGAGAGGAGAAGAAUCCGGACCACCUGCUAAGGUCCCGAAAUGACAGCUAAGUUAAACUAACGAAGUCUGACUGCUAAGACAGCUAGGAUGUUGGCUUGGAAGCAGCCAUUCAUUUAAAGAGUGCGUAACAGCUCACUAGUCGAGGAGUCGGGCGUGGAUAAUAAUCGGGUAUUAAGUUGUCUACCGAAGCAGUGGGAUCAUUAAUAUGAUCGGUAGGGGAGCAUUCCAGUCGGCGUCGAAGGCGUACCGUGAGGUAUUCUGGAGCGUCUGGAAAAGCAAAUGUAGGUAUAAGUAACGAUAAAGGGGGCGGGAAACCCCCUCGCCGAAAGACUAAGGUUUCCUGAUCAACGCUAAUCGGAUCAGGGUCAGUCGGGUCCUAAGGCUCAGCCGAACGGCGAUGCCGAUGGCAGAAACGGUUAAUAUUCCGUUACUACCUUCAGGAGUGACGUGGAGACGCAGUAGUGACAGUGCCGCCAUCUGACGGAAUAGAUGGUUGAAGGGUGUAGGAGUCGAUCAUGGCAGGCAAAUCCACCAUGAGAUCCGAACCUGACAGUAUGCCGCGUCCUUCGGGACAAGGCAAUAGUGCGCGUAAGCAUGCUGCCGAGAAAAUCCGCUAAACUUAAUCCUGUAGGUACCCGUACCGCAAACGGACACACGUAGUCGGGAUGAAUAUUCUAAGGCGCUUGAGUGAUUCACGGUUAAGGAACUAGGCAAACUGACCCUGUAACUUCGGGAUAAAGGGUCCCUACCCUUUUAUGGGAGGGCGCAGAGAAUCGGUCCAGGCAACUGUUUAACAAAAACACAGGGCUGUGCCAAAUCGAAAGAUCCAGUAUACAGCCUGACACCUGCCCGGUGCUGGAAGGUUAAGAGGAGAUGUCAUCGAUAAGAGAAGCGUUGAAUUGAAGCCCCAGUAAACGGCGGCCGUAACUAUAACGGUCCUAAGGUAGCGAAAUUCCUUGUC
rnacentral:rRNA from 1 species